CACAGUGGCGAGUCUCAGCUACUUGGGAGAGUGAGGCAGGAGGAUUGCUUGAGUCUAGAAGUUCUGGGCUGUAGGUGUUAAACUCCUGCAUUCACUGAAAGGAAACAGGUAACAACCCAGAAUAAAUGACUGCGUAGAAAUAAUGGUGCUAUAUGCCAAUUGGGAGUCCACACUAAGUUGAGCAUCAAUAUGGUGACCUCCCAGGAGCGGGUACCACCAGAUUGCCUAAGCAAGGGUGAACUGACAAGGUCAGAAACAGAGCAGGUCAAAACUUCUGGGCUGAUCGGUAGUGGGAUUUUACCUGUGAAUAGGCCCUGCACUCCAGCCUGGGCAAUGUGGUGAGACCCCAUUUCU
rnacentral:SRP_RNA from 1 species